rnacentral:rRNA from 1 species
UACAGAGGUCUCAAGCGUUGUUCGGAUUCAUUGGGCGUAAAGGGUGCGUAGGCGGCGCGGUAAGUCGGGUGUGAAAUCUUGGAGCUUAACUCCGAAACUGCAUUCGAUACUGCCGUGCUUGAGGACUGGAGAGGAGACUGGAAUUUACGGUGUAGCGGUGAAAUGCGUAGAGAUCGGGAGGAAUACCAGUGGCGAAGGCGGCCUUCUGGACUGACACUGACGCUGAGGCGCGAAAGCCAGGGGAGCAAACGGG